rnacentral:tRNA from 1 species
GCGAAAGUCGUCCAAUGGUAGGACGCCAGCACGCCAUGCUGAUGAUGGGAGUUCGAUUCUCCUCUUUCGCUCCA